UGGGGAAUCUUCCGCAAUGGACGAAAGUCUGACGGAGCAACGCCGCGUGAGUGAAGAAGGUUUUCGGAUCGUAAAACUCUGUCUUUUGGGGCGAACGUGAGUAUGGUGAACAAUCAUAGUCAGUGACGGUACCAAAGGAGGAAGCCACGGCUAACUACGUGCCAGCAGCCGCGGUAAUACGUAGGUGGCAAGCGUUGUCCGGAAUUAUUGGGCGUAAAGAGCGCGUAGGCGGGAUAGUCAGUCUGUUGUAAAGUGCGGGGCUCAACCCCGUGAUCGCAAUGGAAACAGUUAUUCUUGAGUGCAGGAGAGGAAAGUGGAAUUCCCAGUGUAGCGGUGAAAUGCGUAGAUAUUGGGAGGAACACCAGUGGCGAAGGCGACUUUCUGGACUGUGUCUGACGCUGAGGCGCGAAAGCCAGGGGAGCGAACGGGAUUAGAUACCCCGGUAGUCCUGGCCGUAAACGAUGGGUACUAGGUGUGGGAGGUAUCGACCCCUUCCGUGCCGGAGUUAACGCAAUAAGUACCCCGCCUGGGGAGUACGGUCGCAAGACUGAAACUCAAAGGAAUUGGCGGGG
rnacentral:rRNA from 1 species